AUCCCAGGACUCUGGGAUCAUGUCCUGAGCAAAGGCAGAUGCUCAAACGUUGAGCCAUCCAGGCAUCCCUUGACCUAAAUAUUUUUAUAAGGAAACUUAGUGGAUGUUACCACCUAAAAUCAUCUCAGGCAUUCUUUGGAAAAUACUUCAAUCACGUAGUAAUAAUCAUAAUCAUAAUCAUAAUAGUGAUGAUAAGUUAAGACUAUUUCCAAACUAAUUCUGUGAAAUAGAGACAGAUUGGUAGGGAAGAAAUCAGAGUCCUUAGAGCUCAUGGGAAAAUGUUGGGGUAAAUCAUAUGCUCAGAUUACAGUUUAUUCUUUGAGGCUUUAUUUAAGAAGUGAGUUAAUAUUUACAUGACAUUGAACUUCAAAGUCCAGGCAAUAAAGUGGAAAAAAGAGUGAGAGAAAAACAGUUUGUGUCACUUCCUUGCUCUUCCUUGCCCUGUGGUGAGCCACUGGAGAAAACCAAAGCGGAGGGCUUGGGUCUUAAAUUACCAGAGUUGAAUAAUUUCUUAUUAAGUUAUUAAAAUUUAUUCUGCUGAAAUGCAUGUGUUAUGUUACCUAACUCACCUUAUACUAUUCUUGGUGGAGUUUGAUUAUGUCUUUAAAUAGUAAUCUUUCCUUAGUGCGAAAUUCUUUGCCUUUUUUUGUAGGGAUGCAGUCUCUGGUCAUGUGUGUCUUUGCCAUGAUAUUCUUGACUUAUAGAAAAGAGUGCUGCUAUUAUAACAAAGUAGGACAUUAUUUAUCUGUAUGAGGCAAUGAACAUUACCAGUUUUCUCAAGUACUUCCUUUCUGAUUCUUCUUGUUGAGGGGUUUUCACUCAUUCCUGACUUUUAAAUUAGGGCAGCCUCAUACAUAACACUAGCAAGAUGGACAAGGGAUGGGCCAUGUAGAAGACAUCAUUCUGGGCUUGACUCAAAGGGAAUCAUCAUGCCCGAGAAAGUAGUAAACCAGUGGCUACCUGAAGGGAAGCCACUACUUGCAUUUUAAAAUCAUCAUGUAGUGGCAUCUGGAUAGCUCAGUUGGUUAAGUGUCUGACUCUUAAUUUGGCUUAGGUCAUGAUCUCAGGGUUGUGGGAUGGAACCCCGAGUCACGACCCUCUGAUCUCCACACAGUGGGGAGACUGCUUGCAAUUCUCUCUCUCUCUCUCUCUCUUCACCCUCUGGUCCUCCCCCACCCCCUACCCCAAAGUAAAUAAAUAAAUCUUGAAAAAAUAAAGUCUGGUCAUGUAGUAUUUUGAGAUUGCAUGUGUUUAGAUACAUUUGGAAAUGUUAGGCCCCAUAAAAGGUCCCUUUAAAGUCAGGCUCCAUAGUUUGACAGGUCUAUGUGUUCAUUUUUUAUUUUUUAAAGAUUUUAUUUAUUCAUGAGAGACACAGAAAGAGAGAGGCAGAGACAUAGACAGAGGGAGAAGCAGGCUCCCUGCAGAGAGCCUGAUGCAGGACUCAAUCCAGGACCCCAGGAUCACUACCUGAGCCAAAGGCAGACACUCAACUACUGAGCACCCAGACAUCUCUAAGUAAUUCCAGUUUAAUAGUGAGAAAAACAUCAGACAAACCCAAAUUGAAGGAAAUUGUAUAAAUAAUUGACCCAAUAUUCCUCAAAACUAUCAGAGUCUUCAAAAACGAGGAAAGUAUAAGAAGCUAUCUAUCGCAGCCCAGGGGAGCCUAAGGAGACAUGACAACUGAGUGUAAUGUGCUCAUCCUGAAUGCUUUCCAAGAACAACAACAAAGAGACAUUACUUAAAAACCAAGGAAAUGUGACUAUGGACUUUAGUUAAAAAUGAUGUAUCACUAUUGAUUCAAUAGUGAUGGCAAGCUUACCACACUAAUGUAAGGUGUUACCAGUAGAGGAAAGUUGAGUGUUGGGUAUAUGAGGAUUCUCUCUACAAUCUUCUCAACUUUCCUCUAAACCUAAAACUAAAAUGAAAAGUUUAUUUUAAAAAAGCUGUUAUAUGCUACUGAUGAAUUAGUGAGCUCUACAUCUGAAACGAAUGGAGUACUAUAUGUUGGCUAACUGAAUUUAAAUUUAAAAAGAAGAAAUAAAGCUAACUUCCAGAGAAACCACUCUGGAAAACUACUGAGACUCUCUGUGGCUCCCAAUAUUUCCUGAAAAUCCUAGGGAAACUUUAUAAGCACAUCCAGAAUUAGUUUGUGCUUUUGGGGCUCAGCAGUUGAGCAUCUGCCUUCGGCCCAGUGUGUGAUCCCGGAUUCCUGAGAUCGAGUUCCACAUCGGGCUUCCUGCAUGGACCCUGCUUCUCCCUCUGCCUGUGUCUCUGCCUCUCUCUGUGUCUCUCAUGAA
rnacentral:lncRNA from 1 species